rnacentral:rRNA from 1 species
AGAGUUUGAUCCUGGCUCAGGAUGAACGCUAGCGGCAGGCCUAACACAUGCAAGUCGAGGGGCAGCACGGUGUAGCAAUACACUGGUGGCGACCGGCGCACGGGUGCGUAACGCGUAUGCAACCUACCCAUAACAGGGGGAUAACACUGAGAAAUUGGUACUAAUACCCCAUAACAUCAGGACCGGCAUCGGUUCUGGUUGAAAACUCCGGUGGUUAUGGAUGGGCAUGCGUUGUAUUAGCUGGUUGGUGAGGUAACGGCUCACCAAGGCAACGAUACAUAGGGGGACUGAGAGGUUAACCCCCCACAUUGGUACUGAGACACGGACCAAACUCCUACGGGAGGCAGCAGUGAGGAAUAUUGGUCAAUGGACGCAAGUCUGAACCAGCCAUGCCGCGUGCAGGAAGACGGCUCUAUGAGUUGUAAACUGCUUUUGUACGAGGGUAAACGCUCUUACGUGUAAGAGCCUGAAAGUAUCGUACGAAUAAGGAUCGGCUAACUCCGUGCCAGCAGCCGCGGUAAUACGGAGGAUCCAAGCGUUAUCCGGAUUUAUUGGGUUUAAAGGGUGCGUAGGCGGUUUGAUAAGUUAGAGGUGAAAUACCGGUGCUUAACACCGGAACUGCCUCUAAUACUGUUGAACUAGAGAGUAGUUGCGGUAGGCGGAAUGUAUGGUGUAGCGGUGAAAUGCUUAGAGAUCAUACAGAACACCGAUUGCGAAGGCAGCUUACCAAACUAUAUCUGACGUUGAGGCACGAAAGCGUGGGGAGCAAACAGGAUUAGAUACCCUGGUAGUCCACGCAGUAAACGAUGAUAACUCGCUGUCGGCGAUACACAGUCGGCGGCUAAGCGAAAGCGAUAAGUUAUCCACCUGGGGAGUACGUUCGCAAGAAUGAAACUCAAAGGAAUUGACGGGGGCCCGCACAAGCGGAGGAACAUGUG